GACGUAGGGGCGAGCGUUGUCCGGAAUUACUGGGCGUAAAGAGCACGUAGGCGGGAACUUAAGUCAGGUGUGAAAGACCGUGGCUCAACCACGGGUAUGCAUUUGAAACUGGGUUUCUUGAGGGCAGGAGAGGAAAGCAGAAUUCCUGGUGUAGCGGUGAAAUGCGUAGAAAUCAGGAGGAAUACCAGUGGCGAAGGCGGCUUUCUGGACUGACCCUGACGCUGAGGUGCGAAAGCGUGGGUAGCAAACAGGAUUAGAUACCCCGGUAGUCCCUGAG
rnacentral:rRNA from 1 species